rnacentral:rRNA from 1 species
CCUACGGGCGGCAGCAGUGAGGAAUAUUGGUCAAUGGGCGAGAGCCUGAACCAGCCAAGUCGCGUGAAGGAUGACGGCCCUACGGGUUGUAAACUUCUUUUGUCAGGGAGCAAUUGGGUCCACGCGUGGGCUUAGCGAGAGUACCUGAAGAAAAAGCAUCGGCUAACUCCGUGCCAGCAGCCGCGGUAAUACGUAGGGGGCAAGCGUUAUCCGGAUUUACUGGGUGUAAAGGGAGCGCAGGCGGCGUGGCAAGUCAGAUGUGAAAACCCGGGGCCCAACCCCGGGAGUGCAUUUGAAACUGCCAUGCUGGAGUGCCGGAGAGGUAAGCGGAAUUCCUAGUGUAGCGGUGAAAUGCGUAGAUAUUAGGAGGAACACCAGUGGCGGAGGCGGCUUACUGGACGGUAACUGACGCUGAGGCUCGAAAGCGUGGGGAGCAAACAGGAUUAGAUACCCUAGUAGUC